GAUGAACGCUGGCGGCGUGCCUAAUACAUGCAAGUCGAGCGAACAGACGAGGAGCUUGCUUCUCUGAUGUUAGCGGCGGACGGGUGAGUAACACGUGGAUAACCUACCUAUAAGACUGGGAUAACUUCGGGAAACCGGAGCUAAUACCGGAUAAUAUUUUGAACCGCAUGGUUCAAAAGUGAAAGACGGUCUUGCUGUCACUUAUAGAUGGAUCCGCGCUGCAUUAGCUAGUUGGUAAGGUAAUGGCUUACCAAGGCAACGAUGCAUAGCCGACCUGAGAGGGUGAUCGGCCACACUGGAACUGAGACACGGUCCAGACUCCUACGGGAGGCAGCAGUAGGGAAUCUUCCGCAAUGGGCGAAAGCCUGACGGAGCAACGCCGCGUGAGUGAUGAAGGUCUUCGGAUCGUAAAACUCUGUUAUUAGGGAAGAACAUAUGUGUAAGUAACUGUGCACAUCUUGACGGUACCUAAUCAGAAAGCCACGGCUAACUACGUG
rnacentral:rRNA from 1 species